rnacentral:rRNA from 1 species
UACGGGGGGGGCAAGCGUUGUUCGGAAUUACUGGGCGUAAAGGGCUCGUAGGCGGCCAACUAAGUCGGAUGUGAAAUCCCCAAGCUUAACUUGGGAACUGCAUCCGAUACUGGAUGGCUUGAAUCCGGGAGAGGGAUGCAGAAUUCCAGGUGUAGCGGUGAAAUGCGUAGAUAUCUGGAGGAAUACCGGUGGCGAAGGCGGCAUCCUGGACCGGCAUUGACGCUGAGGAGCGAAAGCUAGGGGGAGCAAACGGG